ACAUCUCUAUAUCUGAUUUUAACAAGUAUUCACAAUUACCUUGUUUUUGAAAAAUCAUAUUCCUUUUCCAGCAUUAAUUGAAGACGUAACUCACAUUUUCAGUUUAAAAAAGAUAAAUAUUUAAGUCUAUGAGAUUAUCAGUAUAUAUCGCGUUAGCUGCAGUACAUCCACAUUGGUAUAUUGUAUUUUCAUCAUUUUAUUUCAUCGCAUACUUAAUUAUCACUGUAAAUAUUUUUAUACUUUUUAGAUCCAUGAGUUAUUAAAAAUAUGUUUUGACCAGGAAAUCCUGCCAUCUGGAACAAGGUGGAUGAACAAAAGAACAUUAUACUAAGCAAGAUGAAUCAGGCGCAGAGGCAAAGAUCAUGUGAGCUCACUUCCAUGUGGAACCUAAAAGAAUCUGGCAGCAUGUGACCUCUGACUGUUCCUAAAGUAAAAAUGGCCAUGCAAGGUAACACUUUGGAAUAGAUGCAGGACGUUGAGGCAGCCGUGACUGCACAGCUAAAAACCCUCACGAAAGAGCACUUACAGAACUGCUCCAGAAAGUGGCAAGAGCAAUUGGAUAAGUGCGCUCAAUGCAGGGGAGCAUUGUGUGUGUGUGGCGGGGGAGGAGGGGUGCAUGACAAGGUGUCUUUUACUGAAUACGUUUUGAAACAUUUAAACACAGCAUGUUUUUUGAUCUUUUCUCUUCAUAGGACAGAACCACAGAAUUUCCAGUUCUGGUCUCAUCAUUUGCAGCUUUGUAGUUUGCAACUGGAAAGCACGAAGUCUUUAACUCUGUUUUUGUUUUUCAACAUUACUUUGGGUUGAGAUUCCUUGCAUUUCCAUUUGAAUGUUAGAACCAGUUGGUCCAACAUCAAAAAGGAAGUUGGAAUUUAGAAUCGACACCGGCGAGCUGCCUGUACCCUGCUGGUGCUGGGAAGCAGGACGUGAAGCUGUCCAUGUGGCCAAGAUGGUGCCUGUCGUACACUUCACUCACCAUACGGCUAGUUCUCCUCAAAGUUGAAAAUGGAUAUUGAGAAUGCCACAAGCCAAGUAACUGAUGAAGAAAAGAAGUUUACUUGGACCAUGGCUGGCGAGGCUGAAAAGGUUGAGGGCAGGGUGCGUCUUCUGCUCAGCUCCUGGAGGGGCCUCCCUGUUUCUCCAUAAUAGCGGCAGAGCAAAGCCAAACGCACGUUCAUAAUGACCUGCUCUGGAGGGGAUGAAGCCGCUCCCGUGGGAGCUUACCCAGUCUCCAGAGCCCAGCCCUGAGGCUCGAAUCCUGAUGGUGUAAAGCUCCCACUUAUGCCCAUGGCUGCUGUACCAGGAAUUAAGCUUCCAACCCAUGAACUUUCGAGGGAACAAGCAAAUCUUUGGGGGGGACAUAAUCAAGCAUGUCACUCCUGGCCCCCAAAAUUCAUGUUCUUUUCGCAAUGCAAAACAUACUCAUUGUAUCCCAAGCGUCCCAUAAGUCUUAACUGGUUCCAGCAUCGCUUCAAAAGCUCAAAGUCCAGCAUCUCGUCUGAAUCAGAUAUGGAUGAGACUCAAGGCAUGAUUCACCCAGGGCAAACUCCUUUCCAGCUGUGAGCCUCUGAAACCAAAACAAGUUGUCUUCUUCCAACAUUCAAUAACAGGACAGGGACAGGGCAGACAUUCCCACUCCAAAAGGAGAGGGGGUAAGCACGAGGAGGUAACGGGCCACGGGCACGUCCAAAAGCCAGUAUGCGGAAAUUAAAGCUUCAGACUCCAGAACAAUCUUCCACUCUAUAUGCCAAAGCCUGGGCGUCCUGGGGAUUUGGGCUACCAAAGUGUCACAGCCUCGCCUGGAAAGCUCUGCUGGGGUCUCCGGCCGACAGCCCUCCCUGGUGGGCCCAAACUCUGUGUCCUGCCAGACCACACCCCACUUCUCUCAUAUCUGUACUCAUCUUUUAGCAAGAAAUACUUGGCCACACCCUCGCUAUUCCCCCCUGAACUCUUGAGAUGGCCAAACUGAGACUUUUCCAUAUCUGUCCACUCUGCUUCUCUUUUAAUUACAAAUUUCAUUUUUAAAUCA